rnacentral:rRNA from 1 species
CCUACGGGGUGCAGCAGUGAGGAAUAUUGGUCAAUGGGCGAGAGCCUGAACCAGCCAAGUCGCGUGAGGGAGUACUGCCCUAUGGGUUGUAAACCUCUUUUGUCGGGGAGCAAAAGCCGGACGUGUCCGGCUGUGAGAGUACCCGAAGAAAAAGCAUCGGCUAACUCCGUGCCAGCAGCCGCGGUAAUACGGAGGAUGCGAGCGUUAUCCGGAUUUAUUGGGUUUAAAGGGUGCGCAGUCGGAUUUUUAAGUCAGCGGUAAAAUCGUGGGGCUCAACCCCAUCCAGCCGUUGAAACUGGGGAUCUAGAGUGUGCGAGAGGUAUGCGGAAUGCGUGGUGUAGCGGUGAAAUGCAUAGAUAUCACGCAGAACCCCGAUUGCGAAGGCAGCAUACCGGUGCACAACUGACGCUCAGGCACGAAAGCGUGGGUAUCGAACAGGAUUAGAUACCCUAGUAGUC